rnacentral:rRNA from 1 species
GACGAACGCUGGCGGCGUGCCUAAUACAUGCAAGCCGAGCGGACUGAAUGGGAGCUUGCUCUUGUUCGGUCAGCGGCGGACGGGUGAGUAACACGUGGGCAACCUGCCCGCAAGACCGGGAUAACUCCGGGAAACCGGAGCUAAUACCGGAUAACACCGAAGACCGCAUGGUCUUUGGUUGAAAGGCGGCGCAAGCUGCCACUUGCGGAUGGGCCCGCGGCGCAUUAGCUAGUUGGUGAGGUAACGGCUCACCAAGGCGACGAUGCGUAGCCGGCCUGAGAGGGUGACCGGCCACACUGGGACUGAGACACGGCCCAGACUCCUACGGGAGGCAGCAGUAGGGAAUCUUCCGCAAUGGGCGAAAGCCUGACGGAGCGACGCCGCGUGAGCGAAGAAGGCCUUCGGGUCGUAAAGCUCUGUUGUGAGGGACGAAGGAGCGCCGUUUGAAGAAGGCGGCGCGGUGACGGUACCUCACGAGGAAGCCCCGGCUAACUACGUG